CCAGGAAGGACCCCUCCAGGAGCCAUGGCUUCAGAGCAAUCUAGUCUCUAACAGGCACCGAAGAACAGCAGCACCAGCACGGUUACCACUGCCAUCAUCCUUGGCACGGAAUACAAGACUUCACGUCUGGUGGGUGGUCCCGACCCCAGGGACGGUGGAGAGUUCACAGGGGCCGGGCUGUCCCCGCUCCUGGCUGUCUGUCUUGUGUGUCACUCACAACUGCCUCUUGCAAACAGAGCAUCCCCUGGGGAGCUUUCCCCGGGGACACUUUUCUUUGGCAUCCUUAAACAGCUGUCACACUGUCCCAGUUGUUUUUCAAGAAGGAGGUCUCCAGAGUUUCAUUGAGGCAGACUUGAACUUGACCCUGCCGUGUUGAUUUGUUCCCUUUCAUCUCUCCCUGGGAAACGGGUGCCAAACCCUGGGUGCCCAUGGGUGGAUCCUGGCAGCCUCUCAGCCUUGGCAGCUCAUCACCUGUUGUUUCCUACCCAGAAUAUGCGUUUGGACGUGUAAGGAUUUCAGCAGUUCCUGCAAAGGCAAACUUCUCUGGAGGAACCUGAGAUUUCUUCGGCACAGAUCAGCUUCACACCCCACGGAGCAGUCUUUCAGCAAAGGGUUUAAAGGUGGGGGCACAUAAGUAAUGCCUUAGGUAGGGUAGGUGAGGGAGGCCACCAUUCAGCACUCGAUCUCGAACUUUGUGUUUGCCAGGGGCUUUCAAGUCAUUUCCAUUAGCUAUUACACCUGAACGCCCUUAAAAGGUAGGUAGGAACUGGUGUCCUCCUUUUGAGAAUAAGGACAUGGGGAGGGAUGCAUCCCCGGGGACACAUCCAUGGAGUGAGAAGGGUCAGAGAGGCCCUGGUGGGGAAGCGUUCCUCUCAGCCUCCAUCCCUGGCCCCGUGUGCUUCCAGCAAGCCACUGGGGAGGAUGUUUCUGGAGCGUGGCUUUCGUCCAGGAAUCGUCCUACGUGUUAGCUUUCUAAGAGCCAGGUUGAGGUCUUGGUCACUGCCAUGUGGCAUAUAGGGGCAGCCUCAGAGAGGUAAGUGCCGUGCAGUAAAUCACAGAAGGAUGAGCAAACUGCUCUGCGCAGGGAAAGCAGGCUCUCAUUCCCCAGCCACUCCCGCACCAGCUUUGAAGCAAGAUAUAUUUUUAAACACAAGCUUCGUACAGAAAAAUUCCCUCGCAUGUCCCCAUAGCCUACUAAUGGGGCAACUGCUGGCAACCGAUACCGCCAGCCCGUGCUCAGGGCUGUGUUCUCAAUUUUUCUUUCUAUUCUUGUCCCCUGGCAUACGAUAGGGCUGCUGUCCUGGGACACUGCAGGCGACUGACGAAAAAGGUUGCAGUCGGUUCUUGCCUGCUCUCAAUUUCAAGACUCUCUGAUUUCGUUCAGACGCCGGGCCUGUAGACCAGGCUCACUUUUAUCCCCCUGAUGAUGCCACGCGGUGGAGAAAGCCUGCAGUCUUCUCGCUGAGUUUGGCUUGGCAAAAUGGCAUGCAAGGUUCACCUCUGUGAGUCAUAAUCAUAAAUAUUCAUGCAGCAUCCUUCCUUUCUCGGCAUGUCAAUGCGAACUCUCUUCAUUCUCAUGGGAGCCCUAUCACCGUUUUGCU